rnacentral:rRNA from 1 species
UACGAAGGGAGCUAGCGUUGUUCGGAAUCACUGGGCGUAAAGCGCACGUAGGCGGAUGUGUCAGUCAGGGGUGAAAUCCCGGAGCUCAACUUCGGAACUGCCUUUGAUACAGCACGUCUUGAGUCCGAUAGAGGUGGGUGGAAUUCCUAGUGUAGAGGUGAAAUUCGUAGAUAUUAGGAAGAACACCGGUGGCGAAGGCGGCCCACUGGAUCGGUACUGACGCUGAGGAGCGAAAGCAUGGGGAGCGAACAGG